rnacentral:rRNA from 1 species
AUUGAACGCUGGCGGCAUGCUUUACACAUGCAAGUCGAACGGUAACAGGCCGCAAGGUGCUGACGAGUGGCGAACGGGUGAGUAAUGCAUCGGAACGUGCCCAGUCGUGGGGGAUAACGCAGCGAAAGCUGUGCUAAUACCGCAUACGAGCUAUGGAUGAAAGCGGGGGACCGUAAGGACUCGCGCGAUUGGAGCGGGCGAUGUCAGAUUAGGUAGUUGGUGGGGUAAAGGCCCACCAAGCCAACGAUCUGUAGCUGGUCUGAGAGGACGACCAGCCACACUGGGACUGAGACACGGCCCAGACUCCUACGGGAGGCAGCAGUGGGGAAUUUUGGACAAUGGGCGCAAGCCUGAUCCAGCAAUGCCGCGUGCAGGAAGAAGGCCUUCGGGUUGUAAACUGCUUUUGUACGGAACGAAAAGGUCUGGGUUAAUACCCUGGGCCGAUGACGGUACCGUAAGAAUAAGCACCGGCUAACUACGUGCCAGCAGCCGCCGUAAAAC